ensembl:misc_RNA predicted gene, 27970
UCCCUUUGACCCAUUAUGGCAGACUUUAAAACAAGCAUGUUUUCAAAUGGUACUGUGAGUUGCCAAUGAUGUAUCACCCCCAUAUCUCAUUAUUCUCCACUAAAUGUGAUACUAAUGUGAUCUGUUAACAUAAAAAGUUUGGCUCCACAAAAGCAGCUGGAAGUGGACAACCACAACAUGCAUAAAUGUGACUCUUACCAUCAGCUACACACUGCUCGACACAUAUUGUUAAAAGCACCUCGCAUUGGUGGGCUCUUGUAAGCAAAACACUUGCAUUAGGUCUCAGCUGGGGCUGAGCAUCAGGCAGCCUGGGAAAUAUUCAAUUCCCAGCAGAGGCCAGAAUUGAAUCCUCAGUCUUUUAGGAAUCAUUUGCAAGGCCUGAGAGGACUGAGGCGGCUCAGGUG